CAUUAGAUGACUGAAAGCAAGUACUGGUCUCUUAAACCACUAAAUAGUAACCUAGCGUCUACUUCUAAUGA
rnacentral:tRNA from 1 species